AGAGUUUGAUCCUGGCUCAGGACGAACGCUAGCGGCGUGCAUAACACAUUCAAGUCGAACGAGGUAGCAAUACCUAGUGGCGGACGGGUGAGUAACGCGUGAGCAACCUGCCCUUGUGUGGGGGAUACCGUCUGGAAACGGACGUUAAUACCGCAUAACGUUACGGAAUCGCAUGGUUCUGUGACCAAAGAUUUAUUGCGCAAGGAUGGGCUCGCGUCUGAUUAGAUAGUUGGUGAGGUAACGGCCCACCAAGUCUACGAUCGGUAGCCGGACUGAGAGGUUGAACGGCCACAUUGGAACUGAGAUACGGUCCAGACUCCUACGGGAGGCAGCAGUGGGGAAUAUUGGGCAAUGGGCGAAAGCCUGACCCAGCGACGCCGCGUGAAGGAGGAAGGUCUUCGGAUUGUAAACUUCUUUUAUUAGGGACGAAAACUGACGGUACCUAAUGAAUAAGCCACGGCUAACUACGUGCCAGCAGCCGCGGUAAUACGUAGGUGGCAAGCGUUAUCCGGAUUUACUGGGUGUAAAGGGUGUGUAGGCGGGAUGGCAAGUCAGAUGUGAAAACUAUGGGCUCAACUCAUAGCCUGCAUUUGAAACUGUCGUUCUUGAGGGUCGGAGAGGUAACUGGAAUUCCGUGUGUAGCGGUGAAAUGCGUAGAUAUACGGAGGAACACCAGUGGCGAAGGCGGGUUACUGGACGAUACCUGACGCUGAGACACGAAAGUGUGGGGAGCAAACAGGAUUAGAUACCCUGGUAGUCCACACUGUAAACGAUGAAUGCUAGGUGUAGGGGGUAUCGACCCCUUCUGUGCCGGAGUUAACACAAUAAGUAUUCCACCUGGGGAGUACGACCGCAAGGUUGAAACUCAAAGGAAUUGACGGGGGCCCGCACAAGCAGUGGAUUAUGUGGUUUAAUUCGACGCAACGCGAAGAACCUUACCAGGACUUGACAUCCAACUAACGAAGUAGAGAUACAUUAGGUGCCCUUCGGGGAAAGUUGAGACAGGUGGUGCAUGGUUGUCGUCAGCUCGUGUCGUGAGAUGUUGGGUUAAGUCCCGCAACGAGCGCAACCCUUGCUAUUAGUUGCUACGCAAGAGCACUCUAAUAGGACUGCCGUUGACAAAACGGAGGAAGGUGGGGACGACGUCAAAUCAUCAUGCCCCUUAUGACCUGGGCUACACACGUACUACAAUGGCCAUCAACAGAGGGAAGCAAAGGAGCGAUCCGGAGCAAACCCCUAAAAAUGGUCCCAGUUCAGAUUGUAGGCUGCAACUCGCCUACAUGAAGGUGGAAUUGCUAGUAAUCGCAGAUCAGCAUGCUGCGGUGAAUACGUUCCCGGGCCUUGCACUCACCGCCCGUCA
rnacentral:rRNA from 1 species